rnacentral:rRNA from 1 species
GACGUAGGGCGCGAGCGUUGUCCGGAUUUAUUGGGCGUAAAGAGCUCGUAGGCGGCUUGUCGCGUCGAAUGUGAAAACUCGGGGCUCAACUCCGAGCUUGCAUUCGAUACGGGCAGGCUAGAGUUCGGUAGGGGAGACUGGAAUUCCUGGUGUAGCGGUGAAAUGCGCAGAUAUCAGGAGGAACACCGGUGGCGAAGGCGGGACUCUGGGCCGAUACUGACGCUGAGGAGCGAAAGCAUGGGGAGCGAACAGG